UACAGAGGGGGCAAGCGUUGUUCGGAAUUACUGGGCGUAAAGGGCGCGUAGGCGGCCUUCUAAGUCGAACGUGAAAUCCCCGGGCUCAACCCGGGAACUGCGUCCGAUACUGGAAGGCUUGAAUCCGGGAGAGGGAUGCGGAAUUCCAGGUGUAGCGGUGAAAUGCGUAGAUAUCUGGAGGAACACCAGAGGCGAAGGCGGCCUACUGGGCUGCACCUGACGCUGAGCCGCGAAAGCCAGGGGAGCGAACGGG
rnacentral:rRNA from 1 species